rnacentral:lncRNA from 1 species
GUUGCUGGGACUGCAGCGCAACUGCAAUGGAGUAGGAUUUUUUUUUAAAAUCAUAAAACCAUCACCACGAUUUCCUCCACCAACUAAUAUUCAUUGUAGCUUAAUUAAAACACAAGGUGCAAACAUGAGAUCAACCUGAGAAAGAACCCCCCUUCCUUCCCCCCCCCCAAAAAAAAAAAGAGUUGAAACGGCUUUAUAAAAAUCAUUUUAAAAUUGACUCCCAGGAGCAACUGACUCAGCUUUCUCUACACUGCUCUGCCGGAAAGCCAUGCGGGGAAGAACCAGGAACGGAGUUCAUUGAGGCCAGAGUUUCUGCAUGGUGUAGGGAGAGGAUUCCGGCUUCUUAGAGGAGAAAGCCUCAGAAAAAGCCCGAAGGAGAGGGGAUCUUUCUGCCAGCCACCUAAGGAGCAUUUGAACGAGCUGUUCUGUACCCCGAAAUCAUCACACCCCUCCCUGAAAGUUACCUCUGCCUUCUGCUCAACGGCUGUCGUCCUGCCCGGAAACCGGCAAGUUGCAGACUGCUGCUGGAAAGGCAGGACCCAAAAUCAGAAGUGUCAUCUGGGUCCCUGCACCUAAAUGAUGCCAGGAACCAGCACUGCGGGCGGGCGGCGGGGCUGGUCUCUCCCCUCCUCCCAGUUUAAUUUAAACCCCUGACACUGCAGGAUGUCCACUCCUGUAGACGCAUCUCCAAAGAGCCUCCUCCCUCCCCGUGAGUCCUCACAACUAGGUCCACGGCAUUGCUCCACCUCCUAGAUUUGUUCACCUGAAGAUGCUUUUCUUGCAGAAAAGAAGACUCUGCAGAAUCUGCCAGUCAGCCUUGAUUUUGGAGAAGGUGGGACUUGUUCAGAAGUUAUAGGAUGGGAGUUGCUGCCCAGGAACGGGCAGUCUGCUUGGCUUCAGACCGUUACUUUGCUCCAGGGCAGAGGCAGACCAGGGAGAAGAAGAGGAAAAUUCCUCUCUACCCACUGGUAAAUUCUCAGCAGUUUGGGAAACCUGUGUUUUUGUUUUCCUCCAAGAAAAUCCCAUUUAAAAACAUGCUUAAGCGUGAAAGGUUCAAGAAGGCCACCCAGUGUCAAUUUUGCCCCAAC